rnacentral:rRNA from 1 species
UGGGGAAUAUUGCGCAAUGGGGGGAACCCUGACGCAGCCAUGCCGCGUGAAUGAAGAAGGCCUUAGGGUUGUAAAGUUCUUUCGGUAUUGAGGAAGGUUGAUGUGUUAAUAGCACAUCAAAUUGACGUUAAAUACAGAAGAAGCACCGGCUAACUCCGUGCCAGCAACCGCGGUAAUACGGAGGGUGCGAGCGUUAAUCGGAAUAACUGGGCGUAAAGGGCACGCAGGCGGUUAUUUAAGUGAGGUGUGAAAGCCCCGGGCUUAACCUGGGAAUUGCAUUUCAGACUGGGUAACUAGAGUACUUUAGGGAGGGGUAGAAUUCCACGUGUAGCGGUGAAAUGCGUAGAGAUGUGGAGGAAUACCGAAGGCGAAGGCAGCCCCUUGGGAAUGUACUGACGCUCAUGUGCGAAAGCGUGGGGAGCAAACAGGAUUAGAUACCCUGGUAGUCCACGCUGUAAACGCUGUCGAUUUGGGGGUUGGGGUUUAACUCUGGCGCCCGUAGCUAACGUGAUAAAUCGACCGCCUGGGGAGUACGGCCGCAAGGUUA